rnacentral:piRNA from 6 species
GAAAGGUUGGUGGUUCGAGCCCACCCAGGG